rnacentral:rRNA from 1 species
GACGAACGCUGGCGGCAUGCCUAACACAUGCAAGUCGAGCGAGCAGAUCCCUUCGGGGUGAAGCUAGCGGCGGACGGGUGAGUAACACGUGGGCAACCUGCCUCAUAGAGGGGAAUAGCCUUCCGAAAGGAAGAUUAAUACCGCAUAAGAUUGUAGCUUCGCAUGAAGCAGCAAUUAAAGGAGCAAUCCGCUAUGAGAUGGGCCCGCGGCGCAUUAGCUAGUUGGUGAGGUAACGGCUCACCAAGGCGACGAUGCGUAGCCGACCUGAGAGGGGGGUCGGCCGAAUUGGGGCUGAGACACGGCCCAGACUCCUACGGGAGGCAGCAGUGGGGAAUAUUGCACAAUGGGGGAAACCCUGAUGCAGCAAUGCCGCGUGAGUGAUGACGGCCUUCGGGUUGUAAAGCUCUGUCUUCGGGGACGAUAAUGACGGUACCCGAGGAGGAAGCCACGGCUAACUACGUGCCAGCAGCCGCCGUAA